UACGGAGGGGACUAGCGUUGUCCGGAAUUACUGGGCGUAAAGAGCUCGUAGGUGGUUUGUCGCGUUGUUCGUGAAAACUCACAACUCAAUUGUGGGCGUGCGGGCGAUACGGGCAGACUGGAGUACUGCAGGGGAGACUGGAAUUCCUGGUGUAGCGGUGGAAUGCGCAGAUAUCAGGAGGAACACCGGUGGCGAAGGCGGGUCUCUGGGCAGUAACUGACGCUGAGGAGCGAAAGCGUGGGGAGCGAACAGG
rnacentral:rRNA from 1 species